AGUGAGUGCAAUAGCGGAGGUGAAGAAAAUGGUUGAGGAUUGCAUGCAGCCACUACCUAUGCCGGACUCUGCAUUAAAUCUGCCACUCAAAGAAGAAUCUGAGAAGUUCGAGGCUAAACAAAUCAAAGAUGCCAUCGACAACCACCUUUCUCCUGAAACAAAAAAAGAAUUGAGGACCAAGAGAACUACUACAAGGACAGAUUUUAUGACUAGAAAGAAGUUGGCUGCUGAAAGUCUGAAGGCUGCAUGCCACUUGCCUCCACUUGCACCCAAAAAGGAUAAUGGAAAGAAAACUUCAGACAAAAUGCAGCUCCCCCAAGAAGUAAAGGGUUCAAACGAACUCAAACAAAACAGCAAAAGCCCACAGCAAUGAAAAUAAAAAAGAUGAAGCAUCUGCAGCAUCAUCAAUAGCAGCAAGGAUAAAUGUUUACACCAGGAAGCCAAUGAAAAUUUCAACUGAAAUGGAAAAGCUAGUAGAAGCCUCGCUUCCAACAGACAAGGGUGAAGAGAGCAAAGGCCCGCUGGCAGCCAAAAAGUUAGAUGAGAAAGCAAAGGUGCGAGCAGUUUUUUUAAGCACUACCCUGACAUAUGCAACCAGCAAAUUGAGUACAAAUGUUUUCCCCCAAACAUUUUUCCUUCCUUUUUGUUUUGGCAGGGCAUUUCUGGUGAGGGAGGAAGCA